CUUGAAGGCGAAGGUCAAGCGCUCUCCAAGUGUUUUUAAGCAUUGUUUGUAGGGUGAGAUAGUAAACAGAUAUUAAUAAGAAAAUCCUAAUAAAUUAGGUUGCUUUGCAGAAACUGUGUGGGAACAGAGCUAAGUCAUUUUCUGAAUACCCAUGCAGGCCACUUGCCACUUCGUUGCAAAGGAGACUACUAAGGAGGCGUUUCUGGAUGACACGGCCUGUUCGAGCCUUCCAUUGUGGGAUGAAUAGUUAUUCCCAUCAUUAGAGCCUUCACCAAAUGAGAUUGGAGGUUCAGCACAGUGUUGCUACGGCAGCAACAACUGCGCCUGCUACUGACUCUGCUGCCACCUCAUAUCCUGCAGCCACACCAACUAAAUGUGCUGCCUCUUCUGGUCCUGCAGCCUUAGCAGUCACACUGCCUUCUGCCUCUGAUGCUGACAUGUCGCAGUGUUCGUUCAGCAAGGAUGAACAGCUAAGAUAAUCAAGGAUCCACAAGGAGUAUUAUAGGUUGACCUGCCUAACGGUGGGACGCUAUCAAGGACCGCCUCGAGAAAGGACUUCCAUUUGGUUCAGCGGUCCACCAUCGCAAUAUGGUGGACAGAUGCCCACGCACAUAGGAGCUUCACGGGAACGAACCGUUUUGCAGUAGCAGGCGGCCAGAAGCCUGCACAUCGGCCAUUCCCCACAUAAAGUGGGAGCAUAGAGAGUCUCUUCCAGGCACUACUGUGCUGCCCAAAGCCUUUCGGAAAAGGAAGCGAAACAGGCCGCCCAGAACACCAGGCUUUUGGCUGUCCCAGAAGACAACCAAGUUGAGGCGAGGGCAGAAAAAAUAAACAGAGAAGUCA